AUUGAUAUAAAAAUAGAGGUGGGUGAAGAAUAAUUAUUCCUCAUCCGGGGUGACGAAUAGUCAAUCCAUAUAUAUGUGUGUGUGUGUGUUUGCGUAUAUAUAUAUGGGGCACCUAGGUGUCCAGGCUCCUUGUCUUUCCACCACUUGAUCGCAUUAAGGUGCACGUUCUUGUAAUGGGUAUGGUUGUUAAUGGAUUAUUCCAUUGCAAAUUGCCGAUCAAAUUAAUUGUGACAUAGUUACAUAUUUAGUUCCAUAAAUUUGACCCCACGUACUAUGGAUGGCAAGAGUCCUUUUAUGGAAAAUUAAAAAGUAUCAUGCAUGGCAACGUUGCAUGUUUAUAGACAUAAUAGGAGAGAGAAAUUAGAAAUUAAUGUGUGAUGAUAAAUUGUCUCAUAUUACUUGCCAUGUUUCAUAGAUGCAUGUAUAUGAUACUCUUUACGAAUAUAGAAAAAAACUACUUGUAGUUAGUACGGUAUGCACGUUUCUUAUUUGACUGAAUUACCAACACGCACACAAGCGUAUCUUAAGUAUGUUUAUAUUUUUAUUGGAUAAACACCCGAGUAUGUGUAUAUUUUGAUUAGGUAUGGCACCAACACAUGAAUAUUUUCAAGAGGUAUCAUAACAAACAAUUGGUACUAAUAAUAUAUAC
rnacentral:lncRNA from 1 species